rnacentral:rRNA from 1 species
GUGAAGGUGACUCGUAAGGGUUGCUGGAGGUAUCAGAAGUGCGAAUGCUGACAUGAGUAACGACAAGAACGGUGAAAAACCGUUCCGCCGUAAGCCCAAGGGUUCCAGCGCAACGAUAUUCGGCGCUGGGUGAGUCGGAUCCUAAGGCGAGGCCGAGAGGCGUAGUCGAUGGAAAACGGGUUAAUAUUCCCGUACUUACGAUUGCUGCGAUGGGGUGACGGAGAAAGUUAGGGUGGCUUCCUGUUGGAUGGAAGUUCAAGCGUUUAGGCAGGUCUCUUAGGCAAAUCCGGGAGAUCAAUGCUGAGGCGUGACGUCGAGGCUCAAUUGAGCCGGAGCACCUGAUACUCAGCUUCCAAGAAAAGCCUCUAAGCUUCAGGUAAUCGUGAUCCGUACCCCAAACCGACACAGGUGGGCGAGGAGAGUAUCCUAAGGCGUUUGAGACAACU